AUUGAACGCUGGCGGCAGGCUUAACACAUGCAAGUCGAACGAGUGGCGGACGGGUGAGUAAUGCUUGGGAAUCUAGCUUAUGGAGGGGGAUAACUACGGGAAACUGUAGCUAAUACCGCGUACCAUAGGAUGAGCCCAAGUGGGAUUAGGUAGUUGGUGAGGUAAUGGCUCACCUAGGCGACGAUCCCUAGCUGGUCUGAGAGGAUGACCGGCAAGACGGGAACGGAGACACGGUCCAGACUCCAACGGGAGGAAGAAGUGGGGAAUAUUGGAAAAUGGGGGCAAGCCGGAGGCAGCCAUGCCGCGGGUAUGAAGAAGGCCUUAGGGUUGUAAAGUACUUUCAGCGGGGAGGCGUUACCCGCAGAAGAAGCACCGGCUAACUCCGUGCCAGCAGCCGCGGUAAUUC
rnacentral:rRNA from 1 species